rnacentral:rRNA from 1 species
AUGGAAUUGACGUUAGCUUCAGAAGGAGGCAUAAUCUCGAAACUCUUAGCUCGCAGCACGGUUCCAAUUCUCGACAAAAAUCAAGAGUUGAAGCUGAGGAACAUAAUGAUGGUGAAGCCGACGACGAUGAAGAGCCCUUUGUUCAUAGAGGAGUUGUUGCAAAGCCCCCUCCAAGAAGCUCAUGAGCCCAUGAAGAUGAAAGCAUUGCAAAAAUUAUCUCCAGUUGAUCCAGACACUAUUGUGGGCGAAGAGCCCCUUGGACCAGCGACUUAUGAGGUUCUUGUCAAUGUUGUGAUCAGAAGGGAUACUAUGGUGCCUUAUGAAUAUGAAGGCUUAUGA